UUCACUGUUAUAUAUGUGAGAACCUAAAAUUGGGAUUAAAGGAGUGGAUUAGUGCAUUAGACUAAUAGAACCAGAUUUUUUAUUUUAGUAUAAAUAUAGAUUUCUGAACAACCUGGUUCAUUAGCCUACUUCCACUAUCUCUCUAAAAUCUCAAGUUCUUCUAAGUUCUCCUCCUUCUCUCUACCAUUUCUCCUCACUGAGCCAUUGGAUCUCCGAUCAGGUGGCGCCCAAACGUCCGCAACAUAGAGGGCUUCGAAACUGACCGAUUCAUUUUGGGUUCUAGGCUGGGUUUGGUUGAGUUCUUGCUGUGAAAGGUACGGUUGAGGUGUUCUUGGGAGCUGGUCAGUUUGUACUUGAGAGGUAGAUGAGGUACCCCUGGAGCAGGCCCUGGAUAGUGAUGAUGUUGCAGCUUAGUUUGUUAGGAUUUCUUAGUUAAAUUAUAUUAUUUUGAAAUACUCUGUUAUGAAGAAAGUUUUAAAUUAUGACUUCUUUUGGAUGACUGUAAUCUUAACAACUUAUCUACAUGUCUACUCCUAACUGUUCUAUUAUAUUAUAUUUGAUGACGUCAAUAUUAUGUAUUUUCUAUAUAAUCUGAGACGUUACAAUAUAAGCGACUUUGCUGGGAGGUACGCAUUGGUAAGUUGUGAUCAGCAAUGAACAUGAUUUAUAUGCGUAAUAGUUUUUGAAAUUCAUAAUAAAAAUACAUAAAAAUUCACAUAUAGCAACAAGAAAUCUUGUAGGACCAAAGCAGAUUAGUAAAAAAACUAAACCCUCUGACUUAUCCUUUCAAGACUCGCCAUUCUAAAUGCAUUAAAGUCAUCAAGGAAAUAUCAUUAUAAUUACAUUUAGCUCCACACAAACAUAGGCUCCCAGAACAAAUUAUUAUUGGCUUUAGGAA